rnacentral:rRNA from 1 species
CCUACGGGCGGCAGCAGUGAGGAAUAUUGGUCAAUGGACGAGAGUCUGAACCAGCCAAGUAGCGUGAAGGAUGACUGCCCUAUGGGUUGUAAACUUCUUUUAUAUGGGAAUAAAAUGUUCCACGUGUGGGAUUUUGUAUGUACCAUAGGAAUAAGGAUCGGCUAACUCCGUGCCAGCAGCCGCGGUAAUACGGAGGAUCCGAGCGUUAUCCGGAUUUAUUGGGUUUAAAGGGAGAGUAGGUGGAUUGUUAAGUCAGUUGUGAAAGUUUGCGGCUCAACCGUAAAAUGGCAGUUGAAACUGGCAGUCUUGAGUACAGUAGAGGUGGGCGGAAUUCGUGGUGUAGCGGUGAAAUGCUUAGAUAUCACGAAGAACUCCGAUUGCGAAGGCAGUUCACUGGACUGCAACUGACACUGAGGCUCGAAAGUGUGGGUAUCAAACAGGAUUAGAUACCCGGGUAGUC